rnacentral:misc_RNA from 1 species
CUCGAGAUACUUCACUAUCCUUGUAAGAAGACGACGCCCACUCACCUAUCCGCCCCUCCUUGCAUCAUCGGUGCCACCACCGCCACGUCUGCCAACGGACGCACAUACACACACACGUCUGCGCACGCGCAUCACAGUUUUUUUUUUCCUUUCCUCGCUCUCGAUCUCAACCGAUCUCUCUUGAAGGCCUUUCCGGAGGCUCUCUCGCCACUCGGAGACUUGGGAUCGAAUCCCCAAGUUCGCUUUUCUACCCUGAUCGUGCGCCAUUCCUCCUUGCUGCAAGUCCGUGCGGCGGCGUUCUCGACACAGUGCCAUACCGCCACCCGUGCGCAACAGCCCUGCUGCCAGUCUCCCUAAAAGCGCUCACGGUGAUCGGAGCUUCUCGCUGCGCAUUGCGCCCGCGCACAUGACACGCUCACAAAACCAAGCGCGCACACAUGAGCCCUCCCACGACGCCGGGAAGGCGCAGAACAGCGCGCAAGGGUCGCAAGUGACGCAGAAAUACUACGUCCAUCCGCAGGCAGCCGCCUUGUUCUCUAAGUGGCCGUGGGUGCGACGGGUGCCGAUAUUUGGUGAGGCUGUCGAGGGCUACGGGCCCAAGGUCAUCGUCGCUCUUGGUACGAGCUACCUGCUCUGCAAGGGCGUCGCGGAUCAGAUUCUUACCGGUCAGACGUACGCCAUGAUGAUUGAUCGCUACGGCAUCAGUGUUCCCCGCUACCAGCGCCUGUCUCCGAUUUCGUCCAUGGGGUGGUCCAUCAAGGCCUUCACAGCGAUGCUCUGCGACGGCUUCGCCUUCCUCGGCUACACGAAGCGCUGGUACAUGUUCAUCUCCUGCGUCGGCGGUGGCGCGUUCGCGCUGAUCUACGGCCUCCUUCCGGCGAAGGAGGCGUCGGCUGAUGUGGCAGCCGCCUUCAUCUUCCUGUCGACGUGGGGCAAGGCCAACGUGGAUAUCCUGUCGGAGGGCCAUUACAGUCGACUGAUGCGCCAGAACCCGAAGCCUGGCCCGUCCAUGGUGAGCUGGAUCUGGUUCUGGAUCAUGGUAGGGGCCAUCAUCGCGACUGUGAUGAACGGCCCGCUCGCGGAUGCCGGGAAGCCGCAGAUCAGCAUCUUCGUGUCUGCCGCGCUGCAGCUCAUCACCUGCGUCUUCUACCUGUUCAACUGGUACGGGGAGAAGAAGAACCGCGUGCUGCGUUCCGAGGACGCGCUGUUUAUUCUGGAGGAGACGCGCAAGGAGCGUGACCGUUUUAGGCUCCCGGCGCACGAUGAACCGGUCACCGGGGUGCCGCAGCAUGGUGGUGCGGCGAAGGGGAAGAGGAGCCCGCAGCGCUCGCACUCGGAUGAGGACGUGGAGGGUGCCGUACGGGAUGCCCUCAACGAUGGUCAGCGCGACAACGGUGAACUUGUGCAGGACGUCUACGACGACGCGUAUGACGACGGCGAAGAGGUGGCCGAGGGCGAGGUGUACUACGGCAAGCCGCCGGUGCCGUGCCUGUUCGGGCUGUUCGAGGCGAACACGGAGGUGAUUUCGAAGAACUGGAAGAUCUUCGUGUACAGCGUUGUCAUGACCUGUGCUGUGAUCGCGAUGCUGUGCUGCAACAUCCUGGCCGACACGCUGGGCCUCCUGAUUGCGUGCGUCGUUGUGUCGACCAUCUGCUGCGCCACGUCCUUCUGGGCCCUGCCGCUGGUGAUUGCGAAGGCGAAUGUGUUCUGCUACCUUCAGAUGGCCGUCUACAUCCGUGCCACUAGUCCACUGUACGCCUUUUAUCUGAACUCGAAUGAAUGCCAAGGUGAUUACCCCAACUUCACCUACACCUUCUACAACACGGUGGCUGGCGUGAUUGGCAACCUCGCAGGGCUGGUCGGCGUGACGCUGUUCAACUUCCUGUUCGCGAAGCAUAACUAUCAGGUGACCUUCAUUGUGACGACAAUCAUGCAAGUUCUGGCAGCGCUGUUCGACAUCAUCAUGGUGAAGCGCUGGAACAAGCGCAUCGGCAUCCCUGACCACGCCAUGUACAUCUGGGGUGAUGCGGUUGUAGCACAGAUUGUUUACAUGCUUGGUUUCAUGCCGUUGGUUGUGAUGCUGUCUCGCCUGUGCCCUCGUGGCUCGGAGAGUGUCGUGUAUGCGCUGAUGGCGGGCUUCGCGAAUCUUGGCCAGACCACCUCGUCGUCCCUCGCUGCGAUCAUCAUGGAGUACGGCUGGCCUAUUUUUUCGGAUAACGACCCAUGCAACUACGACAACCUGCCGCUGCUGCUGUUCGUGACCAGCGUCUGCACGCCGCUGCUGGUGAUUCCACUUUCGUACUUGCUCCCGAUGGCGCGAAUCAUUGAUGAUGUGGACAUUGACGGCAAGGUGGUGCGUCAGAAGGCUGAUGAGAUGCGCGCGAAGGUAAUGGCCGCAGCCAAGGACAGCACCUUGGAGCACUCCGCGGAGGCUUCGGCCGCGGCUGCUGCGCCAAAGGGCCACUUGUAAGGUGAGCAUCUCGUCAGUGUGCGUUGGUCGCUCGUGCUAGGCUGAUGCAGAGGUGAUGUCGAAGUAGUGGAACGCGCGCACACUCACGUCGAGAAGGUGCCGCGACUUGUUUUCUUUGUUUUUUUUUGUGGCUCACUCACCCCCCUCCCCAUUUUUUUUCUUGGACCCCAUUGCGCUGUAAGAAGACAGACAGACAGAUGCGAGGGGAUGCACGUCUCCCAAAGGCAGAACAGCACCACUCAAUCGUACUCGUUGACUGCUCGAACCUUCGUUGGCGAUCUCCCUCCCUCUACCCCAUCCCUCGCUGCGCGCCUGGCUGGAGGAAUGAGUGCUGCUGGCAAAGAAGAGACGCGUUAAGAGGCGGAAUGGCGUCGUUCUUGCGGCUGCUCCAUAUCUGUUUUUUGUUUGUUUGUUUUUGCUUGUCUGCAUCCAAAGUACGUAUUCAUUCUUCAGUUCUCCUCUUUUUUUUUCAUUGUGAUGGAUCACCCACGCACACAGACACGCGUGCGAGUUUGUUUCGCCCGGUCACUUGCUGUGCCUGUCUUGGGUGCACGAGUGUUGCUGUUGUGCCUAUACGCAUAUAUAACUACUCGGGCCCUUAUCUGUUUUCAUCCCUGCUGGCGCUAUCCUUGCGCCCCUAGUGUGCGUGCGUGGGUCUCCCCCUCCCUUCCCCUCUCUCUCUCUGCGUGACCUUGUGCCUGCAGUGCGUGUACGGUUUUGUGCCACGUCUUCCCUCUCCUCUCUCUUUUCGUCCCCUUUUCUUCUUUAUUGUUUGUUUCCUUCGUCUUUCUCCAUAGUGAUGUCUCUAUUCGACUCCCCCCGCCUUCUCCCCCUCCCCUCUGUCUUCAUCCGACUCCCCACACCUCCCCCCUUUUCCCCAUCCCUCCCCCUCCUCCUCCACAAACACCAUGGCCACAUGAGCACACGCCUUUGCUAUCGUUGUUGCUAUCUUUUCUGAGAUGAUGGCUCCACGUGUGCUUGUGUGGCCCUCGUCGUUCCUCUUUUACCUUUUCCUGCAUAGAUGCAGCAGCUUUACUGCUGUUCUGACUCAGCAGUGGGUCCCUCCCUUGUGUGCUCCCCAGUCAAUGGCACUCCAUGGCGCUCGGCCUUCCUCCUCCCCAUUCCACAACGCGCCCUCGUCCGUUAACGCGACGCUCGCCUGUGCGAUGGGUGCAAGAAGUCGAGCGCAACGCGAAGAAGGAAGCCGUGGUGUCAGGAGACAUGGAGCAGAAACUGCAUGGAAACAUGUGCGCGUCCAAUAUGGUGUGUGUGUGCGCCUGAUCGUUUUCUUGGCAUUCGCAUGUACGGCUGUAUGCUUGGCUCCUGAAUUUGUAAGCGCAUGGGUCUGUGACAAGCGCCGUUGAGCCACUAGCUUUACGAUCGGGGGCAUCAUGGGUCCUCAUGUGGUGUGCGUAUAUGUAUGUAUGUGUGCGUGUGCGUGUGUGCUGUCUUUCUUUGGCUCAUCAUUGCCAUCAUGUUGCAUAUGACUUCGUUUCCCCGUAACGCACGCCGCCGCCGCCCCCACACUUCCCUUCCUUCUAUCCCCUCCACUGACUCUUUCGCAUGCGUCUCCGUCCCCCUUUUUUUUUUUUAUUUUUGCCGUUGUAAUCGUCGAUGUCGUUGUCGCAUCUUCAUAUCGUAUGUCCCCAUCCUCUCCUUCCCCUACCCUCCCCUCCCUCUUGCCCGCUCUGCACGCGAGCGUCUCUCCGUAAGAGCAAUACGAAAACAAGGAUGAGCGCUGCGCACACGUGCAGACACACACACGCACACACACACACAUACGUGCGUACAGAAAGAUGGAUGAGCAGGUAUGUGUACUUGUGUAUGGCGCCUCCUCUGUGAAUCUGUGUGCGUCCUCAUUCUCCCUCUCCCUCUCUUCCUGCCUCUCCCGUUUUCUUUCCCCUCCAUGCUGCUGCGUGUUUUCCUUUUCCUCUCUUCUCCGCCUCCCUCCCCCCUUGUCUCUGCAGGAAAAACACAAUGAGUGCUGUGUCUGUCCCCCUCCCCUACCCCACCCCCCCCCCACACACACACUCUUUCCUUCAUCUGUACAUGGCGUCUGUCGGGUGCACCUGAUGCAGGUGGGAUUCCGGUAAAGUGCAGGAAAAGGAGCCGGCAAAACAAAAAAGGCGAAUCGAAGGAAAAUGCCCAACGCACUGUGUUUGUGUGCGUGUGUGUGUGUGUGUGUGUGUGCGGUGGUGGGGUUAGGGGGGCGUUACACAGCACAACCACUCCUCUCCCCUCCCUCCCUCCCAUCCCAAGAAUCGGAAAGAAGAGCAGAUGCGCCAUGGGUCUUCGCUAUCCUGUUGUACAUGUCGGGGGGGAAGGGGGGAUAUAAGUGUCGGCUGCGUCAUAUCUUUUCACUAUACAUUUUUUUCUGCUGCGGGCUCAGUGCAUUUCGCGCAACAGAAAUGAAAAACAAACAACAAAAAAAAACGAAGGCUUUUUGAUGACUUCUCUUUUAUGCAAAACCCCCUCCUCCUCCCCCCCCUGUGCCACGGUCCGUCCCUUGUAGAAACGUACACAUACAUAUGUGUGUGUGUGUGUGUGUGUGUGUGUUGGCUGCCCACAUACACGCACACGCACCGGCAGCGGUGAGAAGGGACGGCAGUUCCACCACGUCGCCUUCAUCUCACAGGCUUCGCUCCUCAAGGCUUGUGUGCUUGAGGUUGUGUCGCCAUCUUGUUCGGCUGUGUUCGUGCGCGUGCGUGCUCGAACCCACAUAUGGUGUCUGUCUGAGCCUGUGUGUGUGUCUAUCGUUGUGGUUGGUGCCCCUCUUCUCUCAUUUCACGCACACACACACACGCACGCACGCACGCGCACCAUUUGGCAUGGUCGCCCUCCGCUCCGGUGCUUCGAUCCUCGCUCCUGUUUUUUUUUUUUUGUUUGUUUACUCUAUGCAUGUAUAUACACAUAUAUACUCCUUUAAUUUUUGUCUUCGCCUUCGUCCUCCGCAUCUUCAAGCGAUGCGUGUGCGCAGGUGCCUGUGUUGUCGGUUGUCUCUCUCUCUCUCUCAACGCUUCGCAGAUGUUAUGUGCGCACUUGUCGUACGGUUUCCAUUCGAUUUCCUGUUAGCCUCCCAUCAAGCACACGCACACGUAAGCACACCCGUGGGCGUGUCUGUGUGUUCGGCAUGCAUGCAAGCAUGCGUGUGUGUGUGUGUGUGUGUGUGUGUGUGUGUGCCUUUUCUCUUCUCGUUGAUGUUUUUGUUUUGUUCUGCCGGCAGGGUCUUCGGCGCCG